rnacentral:rRNA from 1 species
CCUUUUGUAUAAUGGGUCAGCGACUUAUAUUCUGUAGCAAGGUUAACCGAAUAGGGGAGCCGAAGGGAAACCGAGUCUUAACUGGGCGUUAAGUUGCAGGGUAUAGACCCGAAACCCGGUGAUCUAGCCAUGGGCAGGUUGAAGGUUGGGUAACACUAACUGGAGGACCGAACCGACUAAUGUUGAAAAAUUAGCGGAUGACUUGUGGCUGGGGGUGAAAGGCCAAUCAAACCGGGAGAUAGCUGGUUCUCCCCGAAAGCUAUUUAGGUAGCGCCUCGUGAACUCAUCUCCGGGGGUAGAGCACUGUUUCGGCAAGGGGGUCAUCCCGACUUACCAACCCGAUGCAAACUGCGAAUACCGGAGAAUGUUAUCACGGGAGACACACGGCGGGUGCUAACGUCCGUCGUGAAGAGGGAAACAACCCAGACCGCCAGCUAAGGUCCCAAAGUCAUGGUUAAGUGGGAAACGAUGUGGGAAGGCCCAGACAGCCAGGAUGUUGGCUUAGAAGCAGCCAUCAUUUAAAGAAAGCGUAAUAGCUCACUGGUCGAGUCGGCCUGCGCGGAAGAUGUAACGGGGCUAAACCAUGCACCGAAGCUGCGGCAGCGACGCUUAUGCGUUGUUGGGUAGGGGAGCGUUCUGUAAGCCUGUGAAGGUGUACUGUGAGGUAUGCUGGAGGUAUCAGAAGUGCGAAUGCUGACAUAAGUAACGAUAAAGCGGGUGAAAAGCCCGCUCGCCGGAAGACCAAGGGUUCCUGUCCAACGUUAAUCGGGGCAGGGUGAGUCGACCCCUAAGGCGAGGCCGAAAGGCGUAGUCGAUGGG